UUUUUCUAAAUGGCUGCAGUAUUUUGACUGUGCAAAGGUAGCAUAGUAAUUAGUUUCUUAAUUAGAAUCUGGUAUGAAUGGAUGAAUGAAAAAUGUAUUUUAUUAAUUUUAUUAUUAUAAUUUUAAUUUUAAGUAAAAAUGCUUAAUUGUAAUCCUGGGACGAUAAGACCCUAUAGAACUUUAUACUAAUAAAUUAUUUUAUAUAUUAAUUUUUUUAUUUUAUUAUAUAUUUUAGUAUUUUGCUGGGGUGGUAAAUAAAUAUUUAACUUUAUUUUAAAAAUUCAUUAAAUUAGUGUUUAUUAUGAUCUUUUAUAAGAAUAAUAAUAUUAAGUUACCUUAGGGAUAACAGCGUAAUUUUAAUGGAAAGUUCAUAUUUAUAUUAAUUUUUGCGACCUCGAUGUUGAAUUAAGAAAAAAUUAAGGGGUAG
rnacentral:rRNA from 1 species